rnacentral:lncRNA from 1 species
GUGUUUUUCCAUCUCUCUCCGCAAUGUAAUCAAUUUGAAUAUUUUGGUUGUAUAAUUAUUUGUACUGAACCUCUUCCAUGAGUCAAGGCUUUGUCUAUCAGGGCUCACAUCGAAGCUCUUGAGAAGAAGGUUCAUGAGGCUAAGAGGAUGGCUACCAAGAUGAGUCGAAGGGCUUUGAAGAGAGAAAAAGCUUGCACUGAAGCUUUUAUAGAAAUAAAGCACCUCAGAGAGGAUAUUAAGUGGAUGAACAAGUCAUAUUCUUUAAAGAAGAAAUAUCUGAUUGAAGCUUAUUUGAAAUUAGACAAGGCUGUUGAGGAAGUAAGAUGGGGUGUUGCU